UGGGGAAUAUUGGGCAAUGGGCGCAAGCCUGACCCAGCCAUGCCGCGUGAGUGAUGAAGGCCUUCGGGUUGUAAAGCUCUGUGGGGAAGGACGAAACAGGUUGUGGCUAAUAUCCACGACCCUUGACGGUACUUCCUUAGCAAGCACCGGCUAACUCCGUGCCAGCAGCCGCGGUAAUACGGAGGGUGCAAACGUUGCUCGGAAUCAUUGGGCGUAAAGCGCACGUAGGCGGCCCGUUAAGUCGGAUGUGAAAGCCCUGGGCUCAACCCAGGAAGUGCAUUCGAAACUGGCAGGCUUGAGUAUGGAAGAGGGUCGCGGAAUUCCCGGUGUAGAGGUGAAAUUCGUAGAUAUCGGGAGGAACACCAGUGGCGAAGGCGGCGACCUGGGCCAAUACUGACGCUGAGGUGCGAAAGCGUGGGGAGCAAACAG
rnacentral:rRNA from 1 species